UACGUAGGUGGCAAGCGUUGUCCGGAUUUAUUGGGUUUAAAGGGUGCGUAGGCGGCUUUGUAAGUCAGUGGUGAAAUAUGGCAGCUCAACUGUCAAGGUGCCAUUGAUACUGCAGAGCUUGAGUACAGAUGAGGUAGGCGGAAUUGACGGUGUAGCGGUGAAAUGCUUAGAUAUCGUCAAGAACACCUAUAGCGAAGGCAGCUUACUAGGCUGUAACUGACGCUGAGGCACGAAAAGUGUGGGGGAUCAAACAGG
rnacentral:rRNA from 1 species